UACGAAAGGGGCUAGCGUUGUUCGGGAUUACUGGGCGUAAAGCGCGCGUCGGCGGCCUAGCAAGUUGGGGGUGAAAGCCCAGGGCUCAACCCUGGAAUUGCCUCCAAAACUGCUAAGCUCGAGGCCGAGAGAGGAGUGUGGAAUUCCUAGUGUAGAGGUGAAAUUCGUAGAUAUUAGGAAGAACACCGGUGGCGAAGGCGACACUCUGGCUCGGUACUGACGCUGAGGCGUGAAAGCUUCGGGAGCAAAUAGG
rnacentral:rRNA from 1 species